rnacentral:rRNA from 1 species
ACCUCCGGACUGGGGUUCGCAAGCUUCACGGCGAACGUAUCUCGGGAAGUUGGUUAAACCUCACUAUUUAGAGGAAGGUGAAGUCGUAACAAGGUCUCCGUAGGUGAACCUGCAGAAGGAUC